rnacentral:rRNA from 1 species
UACGUAGGGGCGAGCGUUGUCCGGAAUGAUUGGGCGUAAAGGGCGCGUAGGCGGCUGUGUAAGUCAGUAGUGGAAGUCCAGCUUUUAAGGUUGGAAGUGCUAUUGAAACUGUGCAGCUUGAGUGCAGGAGAGGUUAUCGGAAUUCCCGGUGUAGCGGUGAAAUGCGUAGAGAUCGGGAGGAACACCAGUGGCGAAGGCGGGUAACUGGACUGCAACUGACGCUGAGGCGCGAAAAUGUGGGGAGCAAACAGGAUUAGAUACCCUGGUA